GUCGGCCGCCCCCUCCACUCCUCCAGCCGCCAUCGCCAAUUGCUCAGGCUCCUCCAACCGGUCUCAGCCUAUUCUCCGUCCAUGAUGCUACGUUCUAGCCAUACCGCCGUUGUGCCCUGUUGUCGGCGACGACGAGAACCACCAGCGAAGCUGUGAGUGCCCGAGGCCACAUCUCCGUCAUUCUCCUUCUUCUUCUCUUUCUGUCGCUGUUCACAACCGCACCCGGCUGUCACCGGUUUCGUUCCGAUCGUUGUCGCCGGCUGUAGGCGCAAGGUUGGGCGUCGUUCGCUGCCACCGUCCCUUUUUCUCCUUCCCUUUGUUCUGUUAAUGUGUUGCUUCAAGUCGCCAGUGAGGCCGUGAACCGCAAGGAUCGACCGCCGGCUGUCACUGCCGCCACCAUCUUGCGCGGCUGCUUCCUACCGCCCGGACCAUCGCAUGCCACCAUGAAGAGGGAAUUGUGUUCGACUUUUCGCUACCAGGUGGGUGGCAGUGGGCAUACAUCGGUGUGUGGGUGUGUAUUUUGCAAUGAAAUAUAGCAUGAAGUGUGUGUGUGUGUGUGUUAUGCAUAGCUGGAAAAUCGAGGAUAGCCACCGCCACCACCGUGAGGUGGUAGCUGCCGCCGUGUACCACCACCGACCACCACAAGGGUGGUUGUUUGCGGGUGUGUAUGUAUUUAGUAUAGUGUAUGUGUUUAGUUUGAGAGUUCAUUGUAAAAUGUAAAAAUGUAAUAAUAGAAAUCUCAAACCACCACCGUCCGCCGUGUCGGGUGGUGGUGUGCCUCGUUGAUGUUGUGUUUUGGUGUGGAUGUUUGAACAAGGGGCUAAAACCCUAGUUGUCUCAAAGGAGCUCUAAUAGGCCCAAUGAAGCUUAAUGGACUCUAAUGGACCCAAUAAAACCAUAAUGGGCUUAAUAAUAUUUUAGUGGGCUUAAUUGGCCCAAUAAAGCCCUAAUUGACAUAAAAGACCAACAAAUUGAUAAAUGGGCUAAUAUUUGGAUUGGAAAAUGCUAAUGCCAAUGAAAACCUAACUUUAAGAAUUAAUCGGGUCACACACACAAGAAUUAUUUAAUAACUUGGAAUAUUAAAUAAUAAUCAUUGGCAGAAAUUAAUCUAAGCAAUAUUGGACUUAAUGGGUUAAGUCCUUAAUGGAUUAAGUCCUUAAUGGGUUAAGUAGGAAACUUAACCCUAAUCAUCAUUUUAUGUGAAACUCUAAUUUUACUUGGGUUUAUUGUUGGGCCUUUCUAUUGGGCCUUGAUGAUUGGGUUAUUAAACAGACUAUCCAAGAUUAAGCAAAUGGUCUAGAGUAAUUUAAUGGGCCUAGGGUAAGGCCCAUGUGAGGGGCUUGGGCCCAAUUUGGAAAAUUGGGCCAUAGAUGGGCCAUAGUUUGGGCCUUAAUGAUUAUAUGAUGUUGGGCCUCAGAAUGAGAUCAUGUAUAGGCCUAGGCCCAAUUUGGAAAAUUGGGCCAUGUGUUGGGCUUUGAUUCCUAAUUGGCUUUGGGCCUAUGGAUUGGGCCUUGGGCUUGAAUAAGCCAAGUUAGGGGUAAUGUAGAAAUUACCCACAGAAUAUACUUAUGGUUAUGUAUUGGGACCCAAUUAUUAAUUGGGUGUUAUUUUGGUGUUGACAGUUCGGGAAUCUGUCAGCCAGCAGCUGGGGUCGAGUCUACGGGACUUCAGCAGUGUGGGAUUGUGUCUAUGGGACUUCAGCAGUGUGAGGUGAGUUACCUUCCAGUAGCGGUGGGUCUACGGCCACAAUGUCGGCCCACCAGUAGGAGUUGUAUGUUAGAUGAUUGUCUUUGUGAUAUCAUCUAGGUUUGCUACUACCUGAUAUGUUAUAUGCUGGCAUGAUAUGUAUAUGUGAUAGUAGUAGAGUUCGGUUAUUAGGACCGAAAGGUAGGUCAGACACCCCAGAUAUGUCUGACAGUAUGUGAUGAUAUGUUUAUAUGUCAGCAUGAUAUGUUAUAUGUGAUAGUGGUAGUAGGAGGGGAAUAGUCCCCAAGUUCGGUCGUUAGGACCGAAGGGUAGAUCGGACACCCCAGAUAUGUAUGAUAAUAUGUUAUAUUAUGAUAUAUGUAAUCGUAGCAGUAGGGGGGUGGAAUAGUCCCCGAGGAUCGGUUGUUAGGAUCGGGGUAGUCAGCACCCCAGAAUGGCUUGACAUGGGUAGUCAGCACCCCAGAACGGCUUGACACGGGUNAGGUCGGCACCCCAGAAUGGUCGUACCGGGUAGGCCGGGCACCCCAGAAUUGCCCGACAAUAUGUAUGAUAUGUGAUUGUAUGGUAUGUGGUAUGAUGGGGGAACUCACUAGGCUUCGUGCCUACGGUUUUCAAUUUUGGUUUCAGGUACUUCGUGUUUAAAGGAAAUGAGUCGGCUUGAUCGCAGCGCAUCACACUAUGGUUUUCCGCACACAAGAUCUUUGGGAUUACACUCUGAUAUUGUUUUAUGAUAACGUGUUUUGACUAUUUCGACUUGAGUUUUGACAUAAGAUGAUAUUAUGGAUGUUUCUUAUACUGUUGGUUUUAUAAUAAGGUAUUUAAAAAUGAAAUUUUUGGCCUGUAUUUUUGGGAUGUUACAUAGAGACAAUGGCACGAGGCUUGGUUCUUUUGCUUUUGAUUGACAUCUCUUCUUGAUGUAGCAUAUGUGAUUCAAUAGAAGAGUUACGAUUAUCACCAUUAAAAGUUUUAAGAUCCCCUUUAUCUUCCAAACUUCCUCUAUCCUCCUCUUGGACAUCCGCAUCAUCCUCCACAACUGCUUCAAGAAAAGACAAAUGUGUAUCCUCAAAGUUGCACGAUCUUUAACAACCUUGUUUUNUAGAUUAGGGCUAAGGAUCUAGGAGGAUGCCUUAUAUGCCUAUUGUAUGUGCUUGUAGACUUGCAUGCUAGUACAGAUCAGUCGGUGAUAGGAUAGCCUGUUUAGGUUAUGCCUAAUUGUAUAAGCCUUUGAAUUGCAUGUACAGAUUCCUGAUUAAAGGAUAGAAUGAUUUGAUUGGAAUAUGAUGGUUAGAGUUUCCAUUUUCUGAAUGCCGCUUGCUUUGUGCUUUGUGGGACGUUUAGUAAUGUCAGCUAACUAUUAAGUGAAUAUGCUAAGUCACAUGUGGCACAGGCUGGAUAAUCUCAGAGUGAUAGAUUUGACCCUAUUGCGCAUCUCUUGUUUGAGUCCAACCGUUCUAGGGAUGGGUCUAUUACUCGAAGGAUUAUCUGAUCUCUAUUGCAUGUGGCUAUAUUCAUGAGGUAGUUAGUUGAAAUUAUUGGGAAUCUUUCAGCAGCUAAGGACUGGGUGAGUUCGGGAACCUAGGGAAGCCUAGGAUAUAUUUCAGUGAGUUAAUAGCGAGGCUCAGUUAGACUUGGGUGUACCAGUUUGAGGAAGUGACUUGGAGGAUUCGGGAGGAUUGCUGAGGAAAGUAUGGAUAGGUGUGGAAGGUAGUAUUGGGCCUGUACUACUGAAAGCACAGGAUCCAUACUCGAAUCGGUGAGAGUCUUGGAGAGUCUAAGAAGCUUCAGGGAAGAGCUUGUAACCCAGUUUGGGGACAGAGGAUGUUCUAGUUGUUGCAGCUUAGCCAUUGGCAAGCGAGUUAGUGCGCGUGACAGGGUGUCAGACCCUGAAAGAUAUGAUUUCCAAGAGUUGCAGAUGCGGAAUCGAUUUGGGAGCACCCUGGAAAGAGAGGUGCGUGUCAGGUAUGUAUAGUAGAGGGUCCCGGGAAGAGACCCAUGACUUCUGAUCAUCGGGUGAAAGGCCGGCAGGGCCUGAGUUAGUGCAGUGCAUACGAGAAAGUACACGAGGGAGUUUGUCACUCCAAGGGUUUAGGAUGCUACAGGUGUGGCAGGGUUGGUCAUGUCUGCAGAAGGUGACCAGUAUUUCCCCAGACGUUGUGAGUAUGUCAUCUUCUAUUGCUACUAGAUGGAUGUUGGGGAUACGUAUCGCGUUGGAAUUAUGAGUGAGUUUGGAUAAGUCAGACCUCGGGUCAGUUUUUCUGCUAGUGUUUGGGUUACCAAGGAUCAUAUAUACUAUCCUGCAUGCCGAAAGGUCCUUGAUGAACCCAAAGAGGGAUGCAUCUUGCAGAGUGGGUUCCGCGCAUACUGUUAUCAUUUCGGAUCUUUUUCGGGAUCUAUGCAAGAGUAUUAUUUAGAGGAUACUCGGUCAGGGUUGGAGUGAUUGUUCUCCAAUGAAGUCAGCGUUCAGAGGUUCUUUCAUUGUUCAGGUAUGGUCGGUAAUUGUUAUGGAUGAACUUUGGAGUUCAAGGCACUACCGUUGCUAGGACAGAACUAGUGACAGGAAGAGGGUAGUGUCAGUCGCGGGUGUUAGAUGCAUAAGUGGUUGGUCAUUGGAUGUUCAAGAGAAUUGUGUUUUCGCAUGGGCCGUGUUCAGUUAGAGUUCAGUGGUACUGCAAGAUAGGGAGUGGGAACGAGGAUUCGUCAGCUAGAGUGAAGAUUAAGGUCUUCAACUGACAGCAUGUUAGAUGGAUUGAGGUGUCAGACGUGAUCAGAUUUCAAGAAUACUCAUCGAGAUUUCCGAGGAUGGGAGAUCUCAAGGUUUAAUCGGCGAUUAAACGCCAACAUUGGCAGGCACAGGUUGUCAUCAGUGGGAUAUUUGAAGGCGAGAAGGAUUGGGAAUCCUUCAAUUCUCAUGUGAUGUGAAGACUUAGUCGAACCUAAGUGGGGGAGAAACUUCUUAUAAAGUUCUCCAACUGUGAGUUCUGGUUGCGCAAGGUGCAAUAUCUUGGCCACCUUGUCAACCAGAAGGGUAUUCUAGUUGAUUCGGCCAAGAUAGAGGUCGUGAUGCAGUGGGAGAUUCCGAGGUCUCCAUCUAAGAUUCAGAAUUCCUUGGGUAUAGCGGGUUAUUACCGGAGAUUUAUGCAGGACUUCUCCGAGACUGUGGUUCCUUUGACCCGACUGACCAAGAAGUCGGUGGCCUUUCAUUGGGGGCCUAAGCAGCAGGCAACAUUCGAGACUCUCAGACAGCGGUUGUACGAGGCACCGAUUCUCACCCUACCAGAGGGUGUAGAUGAUUUCGUGGUUUACUGUGACACUUUGAUCACGGGCAUGGGUGCGGUACUGAUACAGUGGGGUCACGUGAUAGCUGGUUUCGGGAACCAGGUUAGAGUUCCGGUUAGGACUCGAGUUCAGUUGAGGGUUAGGUCGAGUGCGUGUUCGACCUGGUUGGGAAAGUGUUGUAAGACUAUGGGGGUAGCCAUAGCAUUCUCUAGCAGUCAAAUAGUAUGGAAAGUGUUGUAAGACUACGGGGGUAGCCGUAGCAUUCACUAGCGGCCAGUUAGCAUGGAAAGUGUUGUAAAUCUGCGGGUGUAGCUGUAACAUUCACUAGAAGCAGAUAGUGUGAGGGGUGUUGUAAGUCUGCGGGUGUAGCCGUAGCAUUCACCAGGCAGUCAGAUAGUGUUAGAGUGUUGUAAGUCUACGGGUGUAGUCGUAGCAUUCACUAGCAGCUAGAUAGUGAUAGAGUAUUGUAAGCUGCGGGUGUAGCUGUAGCAUUCACUAGGUUGAUAGAUGGCAUGAGCGUGUUGUUAGAAUGCGGAAGGAACAAUAGUACCCCCCAGUUCGGUUGUAGCAGUGAGGAUAUGGAAAUCCACUAAUUGGAUUUCGGAUUUACCCAAGUGAAUUAGAUCUGGUUAAGCCAGUAAUGAGACUGUAGGGACGUCACUACAAUUAUGAGAUCAGAGAAGCAAUGGACUGCUUCAGGACGUGUGAGAUAAGGCUACCAUUGGUCAGGUAACAAUCACUUUUAGUCUUGGAUUUGAUGAUGACAGGAUUCGACGCAUGGACCUGAUCGGUUAGAUCAGAAAGUUGUAGAGUCACACCAGCAUGAUAACUAGUGGCAACGAGUUCCAGAGAAGGAUUUCGUUCAAAAGUCGUGUGAGGCGACUAAGUAGGGAGUCCUUUGGCUCCGCAACCAGGUGGAAACCCAGUAUUUCAGAGGAUUGGCAAGUGAAUUGAGACCCAGGAGGUCUCGAUAGCUUUUGGUAAGCAGCUAUGUAACAGCGUAUACUGCUUCAGGCAGUUCAGCGUUCGGGCAGUUUCAACGUUUGGCAGUGAUAGUAUGUGUAUUUUUAGUUGCAUAUACACAUGGAAUAGUUGGUUUAUUGGGUUAGCCAAGAAUAAGUGAUCUGCAAAGGUAAUUGGGUUUGUGACUCAGAUUUAUGGUGGAAACCACAUGCUAUCAGAAGUUAAGUAGUUAGUUGAGGGAUGAACAUACUAGAUUCUUCAACAAUGAUGCAGUACGAGUGGUCUAUCAGGGAUUAGACCAUCUCAAGACAGUAGAGUUCAGUCAGAGUAGACGAGAUCUUGUUGCGAGGAAUUCGUUCACCUGCGGAUCUUAGGGCUUUACAAGGAUUGGUCAUGGCUAACCUGGGAGGGCUAGGGUGUGCCCAGGUUGGUGCCCUGCUACUAGAGUGGUUGGGAGAGUAAGGAAUGGUAAGAAAUGAUUUCGAGGACGAAAUCUAAUUUAAGUGGGGGAGAGUUGUAAAACCCCGUUUAUUUAUUAAAUUAAUUAAUUAACUAAUUAAUGGCUCGUAGCCCUAAAACAAAUAAUUAAGCAAAGUGUUGAUCUCGAGGAGCUAUUUGUCACACUUUUAGAGAUUGGGGGCUAAAAGUGUAAAAGCGGACUUAAUUUGUAAGUAUUAUUGAAGGCAGGGAUUAAAUUGUAACUUUUGGGACUUUACUUGAAGUGAUUUUGGAGACAAAGGGGCUUUUUUGUAUAUAUUAUACCUAGAUUGCAAUGGAUUUUAAAUGUUGGGGUUUAAAAGGUAAAUAUGGGACUUAAUGCGAAUUGAUUUUGGAAGGGAGGGGCUAUAGUUGUUAUUAUGGGUGAAUGUAUUGAAGGAAGCGGGUAUAUAACCCUAGCUUCACCGGUCACUAACCCUAAACCUAAUGAAGUGUCGGCCGCCCCCUCCACUCCUCCAGCCGCCAUCGCCAAUUGCUCAGGCUCCUCCAACCGGUCUCAGCCUAUUCUCCGUCCAUGAUGCUACGUUCUAGCCAUACCGCCGUUGUGCCCUGUUGUCGGCGACGACGAGAACCACCAGCGAAGCUGUGAGUGCCCGAGGCCACAUCUCCGUCAUUCUCCUUCUUCUUCUCUUUCUGUCGCUGUUCACAACCGCACCCGGCUGUCACCGGUGUCGUUCUGAUCGUUGUCGCCGGCUGUAGGCGCAAGGUUGGGUGUCGUUCACUGCCACCGUCUCUUUUUCUCCUUCCCUUUGUUCUGUUAAUGUGUUGCUUCAAGUCGCCAGUGAGGCCGUGAACCGCAAGGAUCGACCGCCGGCUGUCACUGCCGCCACCAUCUUGCGCGGCUGCUUCCUACCGCCCGGACCAUCGCAUGCCACCAUGAAGAGGGAAUUGUGUUCGACUUUUCGCUACCAGGUGGGUGGCAGUGGGCAUACAUCGGUGUGUGGGUGUGUAUUUUGCAAUGAAAUAUAGCAUGAAGUGUGUGUGUGUGUGUGUUAUGCAUAGCUGGAAAAUCGAGGAUAGCCACCGCCACCACCGUGAGGUGGUAGCUGCCGCCGUGUACCACCACCGACCACCACAAGGGUGGUUGUUUGCGGGUGUGUAUGUAUUUAGUAUAGUGUAUGUGUUUAGUUUGAGAGUUCAUUGUAAAAUGUAAAAAUGUAAUAAUAGAAAUCUCAAACCACCACCGGCCGCCGUGUCGGGUGGCGGUGUGCCUCGUUGAUGUUGUGUUUUGGUGUGGAUUUUUGAACAAGGGGCUAAAACCCUAGUUGUCUCAAAGGAGCUCUAAUAGGCCCAAUGAAGAUUAAUGGACUCUAAUGGACCCAAUAAAACCAUAAUGGGCUUAAUAAUAUUUUAGUGGGCUUAAUAAUAUUUUAGUGGGCUUAAUAGGUCCAAUAAAGCCCUAAUUGACAUAAAAGACCAACAAAUUGAUAAAUGGGCUAAUAUGUGGAUUGGAAAACCCUAAUGCCAAUGAAAACCUAACUUUAAGAAUUAAUCGGGUCACACACACAAGAAUUAUUUAAUAACUUGGAAUAUUAAAUAAUAAUCAUCGGCGGAAAUUAAUCUAAGCAAUAUUGGACUUAAUGGGUUAAGUCCUUAAUGGAUUAAGUCCUUAAUGGGUUAAGUAGGAAACUUAACCCUAAUCAUCAUUUUAUGUGAAACCCUAAUUUUACUUGGAUUCAUUGUUGGGCCUUUCUAUUGGGCCUUGAUGAUUGGGUUAUUAAACGGACUAUCCAAGAUCAAGCAAAUGGUCUAGAGUAAUUUAAUGGGCCUAGGGUAAGGCCCAUGUGAGGGCUUGGGCCCAAUUUGGAAAAUUGGGCCAUAGAUGGGCCAUAGUUUGGGCCUUAAUGAUUAUAUGAUGUUGGGCCUUAGAAUGAGACCAUGUAUAGGCCUAGGCCCAAUUUGGAAAAUUGGGUCAUGUGUUAGGCUUUGAUUCCUAUUUGGCUUUGGGCCUAUGGAUUGGGCCUUGGGCUUGAAUAAGCCAAGUUAGGGGUAAUAUAGUAAUUACCCAGAGAAUAUACUUAUGGUUAUGUAUUGGGACCCAAUUAUUAAUUGGGUGUUAUUUUGGUGUUGACAGUUCGGGAAUCUGUCAGCCAGUAGCUGGGGUCGAGUCUGCGGGACUUCAGCAGGUGUGGGAUUGUGUCUUCGGGACUUCAGCAGUGUGAGGUGAGUUCCCUUCCAGUAGCGGUGGGUCUACGGCCACAAUGUCGGCCCACUAGUAGGAGUUGUAUGUUAAAUGAUUGUCUUUGUGAUAUCAUCUAGGUUUGCUACUACCUGAUAUGUUAUAUGCUGGCAUGAUAUGUAUAUGAGAUAGUAGUAGAGUUCGGUUGUUAGGACUGAAGGGUAGGUCAGACACCCCAAAUAUGUCUGACAGUAUGUGAUGAUAUGUUUAUAUGUCGGCAUGAUAUGUUAUAUGUGAUAGUGGUAGUAGGAGGGGAAUAGUCCCCAAGUUCGGUCGUUAGGACCGAAGGGUAGAUCGGACACCCCAGAUAUGUAUGAUAAUAUGUUAUAUUAUGAUAUAUGUAAUAGUAGCAGUAGGGGUGGAAUAGUCCCCGAGGAUCGGUUGUUAGGACCGAUGAGUAGUCAGCACCCCAGAAUGGCUUGACAUGGGUAGUCAACACCCCAGAACGGCUUGACACGGGUAGGUCGGCACCCCAGAAUGGUCGUAUCGGGUAGGUCGGACACUCCAGAAUUGCCCGAUAGUAUGUAUGAUAUGUGAUUGUAUGGCAUGUGGUAUGAUGGGCGAUCUCACUAAGCUUCGUGCUUACGGUUUUCAGUUUUGGUUUCAGGUACUUCGUGUUUAAAGGAAAGGAGUCGGCUUGAUCGCAGCACAUCACACUAUGGUUUUCCGCACACGAGAUCUUUGGGAUUAGACUCUGAUAUUGUUUUAUGAUAAUUUGUUUUUAUUAUUUCUACUUGGGUUUUGACAUGACAUGAUAUUAUGGAUGUUUUCUUAUACUGUUGAUUUUAUAAUAAGGUAUUUAAAUAUGAAA
rnacentral:lncRNA from 1 species